GCUUAGCCCCAAACCUAGAUAUUUAACAUACAAAAAUAUCCGCCAGAGAACUACGAGCAAACGCCUAAAACUCUAAGGACUUGGCGGUGCCUUAAACCCCCCUAGAGGAGCCUGUUCUAUAAUCGAUAAUCCACGAUCCACCUCACCAUCUCUUGCCAAUACCGUCUAUAUACCACCGUCACCAGCCUACCCUAUGAAGGACAUAAAAGUAGGCAAAAUAGCCAACAACAGCUAAUAAGUCAGGUCAAGGUGUAACUAACUGAGAUGGAAGAAAUGGGCUACAUUUUCUAAACUAGAAAUAACAUCACAGAAAAAACCAUGAAACAGGUUCCAUAAGCAGGAUUUAGCAGUAAAUAGGAACCAGAAUGCCUAAUUUAAGCCGGAUUCAAGGCACGC
rnacentral:rRNA from 1 species